rnacentral:lncRNA from 1 species
GUUCAUGAGUGGCGUUUUGGACAGGGGGCCCGGUGUGGGAACCCAGAGCCAGUUCGCUGAACUGCCGCCGUCCCAGCCCCACGAGCGUCUGGGAAGGUCUGUGGGUGCCCCCCCGUGCCAGCCCAGGGGAGGCAGCCCUGGAAGCCGUUCUCAAGAACUUUUGCCUCAGGUGCAAAAGACUCCAGCCCCGCAAAGAUGCUGAAACAGAUCCUGUCGGAGAUGUACAUAGAUCCUGAUCUGCUGGCAGAGCUAAACGAGGAACAGAAACAGAUCCUGUUCUUCAAGAUGAGGGAGGAGCAGGUCCGCCGCUGGAAAGAAAGAGAAGCAGCGAUGGAAAAACAGGAGUCCCUGCCAGUGAAACCCAGGCCGAAGACAGACAACAGCAAAUCCGUUCACUGGAAGCUGGGAGCCGACAAUGAGGUCUGGGUCUGGGUGAUGGGUGAACAUCACCUGGACAAACCCUACGACGUGAUCUGUGAUGAGAUCCUCGCGGAGAGGGCGAGGCUGAAGGCUGAGCAGGAGACGCCGGAGCUCAGAAAAGCUCAGCCCAGAGAGCUCAGCAGCAGCUCGAAAUCAAAGCUGCCGUCCUCCGAGGGGCGGGCGCCCGGUGCCGGGGAGAUCGGGAAUGUGGGCGAGAAGGCGGCAGAGGUGGGGACGCCGGGCCGAGGCUGCAGGCCGGCUGCACCACUCGGAGAGCAGAAAGCACCCAAGAAAGUGUCAGUGAAGCAAACACAAGAUGAAGAAAUAAAACAGACAGAUGAAGAGAGAACCAAGGAGAUUUAUACAAACUGGAAAGAAGAUUCGGAGUGGCAGGCUUCUUUGCGAAAAUCCAAAGCCGCUGAUGAGAAGCGGCGGUCCCUGGCCAAGCAGGCGCGGGAGGACUACAAGCGGCUGUCGCAGCGGGGCAGGAGCGGCAAGGGGCCGCAGGGCCCCCCGGGCGGCCCCCCGAAACCCAAGAGGCCCCCGCUCCCCCCCAAGCCUCAUUUCCUGAGCCCAGCAGGACAGCCACACACACCUCUCAGGAAUCAGAAAGUGACGAGGCCGGCGUCCAGCCCAGCCCAGGAGGACAUCAGGCGCUGGUUCCGGGAGGAGCAGCUUCCUCUGCGGGCGGGCUACCUGGCGGACUCGGACAGCAUCGCUCCCUGGUUCCACGGAAUCCUCACCGUAAACAGAGCGAACGAGCUUCUGAGCACCUGCGUGCCGGGCAGCUUUCUGAUCCGGGUCAACGAGAAGGUCAAGGGCUACGCCCUGUCCUACCAGUCUGAGGACGGCUGCAAGCACUUCCUCAUAGAUGCCUCCUUGGACUCAUACAGCUUCCUGGGCGUGGACCAGCUGCAGCACGCCAGCCUGGCCGAGCUGGUGGAGUACCACAAGGAGGAGCCCAUCACCUCCCUGGGGAAGGAGCUCCUUCUGUACCCCUGCGGUCAGCAGCAAGAGCCACCCGACUACCUGGAGCUGUUUGAGUGACAGCCCUGCAGCCAGCAGACCCCACGGCUGUGGACACACGUGAGAAGCCACGGCGAGCCGACCCCGAGCAAGUGAAAGGACCCUUGAGGUUCCAUAAAGAUCUCUGCACGCAUGCUAGAGUUUCACGCCAAGAGGGAAUCACCUCCUCCAGCAAUAAAGGGGGAUGAGCCCGCA